AUCCANGAGGCAGCAGGCGCGUAAAUUACCCAAUGUGGACUCCACGAGGUAGUGACGAGAAAUAUCAAUGCGGGGCGCUUCGCGUCUUGCUAUUGGAAUGAGAGCAAUGUAAAACCCUCAUCGAGGAUCAACUGGAGGGCAAGUCUGGUGCCAGCAGCCGCGGUAAUUCCAGCUCCAGAAGCGUAUGCUAAAGUUGUUGCAGUUAAAAAGCUCGUAGUUGAAUUUCUGGUGUGGGAGCCCAGGCCUCGGUGCGAAUGCGCCUUGUCUUGCCUUGCGGCUCCUUUGCCAUCCUCGUUUUUCUUUUGAAGAACGUCAUUCACUGUAAUCAAAGCAGAGUGUUCCAAGCAGGCCGUAGGGCCGGUAUGUUUAUUAUGGGAUGAUCAGAUAGGACUCGGGUGCUAUUUUGUUGGUUUGCACAUCUGAGUAAUGAUUAAUAGGAACAGUCGGGGGUAUCCGUAUUUAGGAGCUAGAGGUGAAAUUCUUGGAUUUCCGAAAGACGAACUACAGCGAAGGCAUUUACCAAGCAUGUUUUCAUUAAUCAAGAACGAAAGUCUGGGGAUCGAAGAUGANUAACCCNNNNGUNG
rnacentral:rRNA from 1 species